AUAAAAAAAGAGAAAUCAUUUGGAUAUAAUUGUGGUGAGGUUGAAUUUAGAAGUUAGAAUAAAAAUCAAUUUGCUCAAUUUAAAAUUAAAUUAAUUAAAAUUAAAUUUAAAUUUAAUUGAAACCAUUGGAUGAUUUUGAUUUCGGUUAAAAUCAAAAUUUUCAUUUGAGAAAUUUUUUGUUUUGUUUUUUUAAUCCUAUAAUACCAUUAUCCCUA
rnacentral:misc_RNA from 1 species